rnacentral:RNase_P_RNA from 2 species
GGAGUCGGUCAGGCAGUCGCUCCGCGUUCGCGCGGGGAGGAAAGUCCGGGCUCCACUGGGCGAAGGCGCCGGGUAAUUCCCGGGCGGCGCGAGCCGACGGAAAGUGCCACAGAAAAUACACCGCCCCUUCGGGGGUAAGGGUGAAAUGGUGCGGUAAGAGCGCACCGCGCAGCCGGCAACGGCGGCGGCAGGGCAAACCCCGCCUGGAGCAAGACCGAAUAGGGGUCCGAUGGCGCGCCCACGCCGGACCCGGGUAGGUCGCUAGAGGCAUCCCGGCGACGGGUGUCCCAGAUGAAUGACUGUUCUCGACAGAACCCGGCUUAUCGGCCGGCUCCCACU